rnacentral:rRNA from 1 species
UACGUAGGGUGCGAGCGUUGUCCGGAAUUAUUGGGCGUAAAGAGCUCGUAGGCGGUUUGUCGCGUCUGCUGUGAAAACCUAAGGCUCAACCUUGGGCUUGCAGUGGGUACGGGCAGACUAGAGUGCGGUAGGGGUGACUGGAAUUCCUGGUGUAGCGGUGGAAUGCGCAGAUAUCAGGAGGAACACCGAUGGCGAAGGCAGGUCACUGGGCCGCAACUGACGCUGAGGAGCGAAAGCAUGGGGAGCGAACAGGAU